rnacentral:rRNA from 1 species
AGAGUUUGAUCCUGGCUCAGGAUGAACGCUAGCGGCAGGCUUAACACAUGCAAGUCGAGGGGCAGCAUAAUGGAUAGCAAUAUCUAUGGUGGCGACCGGCGCACGGGUGCGUAACGCGUAUGCAACCUACCUUUAACAGGGGGAUAACACUGAGAAAUUGGUACUAAUACCCCAUAACAUCAUGAGAGGCAUCUUUUAUGGUUGAAAAUUCCGAUGGUUAGAGAUGGGCAUGCGUUGUAUUAGCUAGUUGGUGAGGUAACGGCUCACCAAGGCGACGAUACAUAGGGGGACUGAGAGGUUAACCCCCCACACUGGUACUGAGACACGGACCAGACUCCUACGGGAGGCAGCAGUGAGGAAUAUUGGUCAAUGGACGCAAGUCUGAACCAGCCAUGCCGCGUGCAGGAUGACGGCUCUAUGAGUUGUAAACUGCUUUUGUACGAGGGUAAACGCAGAUACGUGUAUCUGUCUGAAAGUAUCGUACGAAUAAGGAUCGGCUAACUCCGUGCCAGCAGCCGCGGUAAUACGGAGGAUUCAAGCGUUAUCCGGAUUUAUUGGGUUUAAAGGGUGCGUAGGCGGUUUGAUAAGUUAGAGGUGAAAUUUCGGGGCUCAACCCUGAACGUGCCUCUAAUACUGUUGAGCUAGAGAGUAGUUGCGGUAGGCGGAAUGUAUGGUGUAGCGGUGAAAUGCUUAGAGAUCAUACAGAACACCGAUUGCGAAGGCAGCUUACCAAACUAUAUCUGACGUUGAGGCACGAAAGCGUGGGGAGCAAACAGGAUUAGAUACCCUGGUAGUCCACGCAGUAAACGAUGAUAACUCGUUGUCGGCGAUACACAGUCGGUGACUAAGCGAAAGCGAUAAGUUAUCCACCUGGGGAGUACGUUCGCAAGAAUGAAACUCAAAGGAAUUGACGGGGGCCCGCACAAGCGGAGGAACAUGUG